CCCAUCAGCAGCCCAAAGAUGCGUCCCAAAUGACACCCUGGUCGCUUUAUAGUGCAUUACCUUUGACCAAGGCCUCAGCUCCAGCCAGGAGAUCAGACUGUGUGCUGCUGCCAUGAAGAUAAUGGGGAUUCCAUUUGGCCCUGAGUGAUUUCGUCUCCUCGUCUUCUCAUCUGUCUUGUAGCCGGCCUCUGUAUAUACCGACCCUCAACAACACACAGCUGAGAGCGAGAGAGAGAGUGGCUGUUACUAUGGUCCUCUUUGGUCUGUCCUUCAACCCUGGUCCUGGAGAACCACAGGCUAUGCAGGCUUUUGUUCCUACCCAGCACUAAGACACCUGAUUCCACUAAUCAAAGGCUUAAUGGACAUUUGAUUAGUUAAAUCAGGUGUGAUAGUACAUGGCUAGAAGAAGACCGGAGUUGAAGACGUUCUAAGGCGAGUUCUAAGUUCUAAGAAGUUGAAGUUCCAAGCCAUUCUAGAAGCCAUUUCAGAAGUAAUGGUGUAAACUCUAGUCUAAAUAGUCAGUUAUCACUAGAAUCCCAGUUCACCACCAGUGUUGGAAUUAGUUACCAGUGUUGGUGAUUAGUUAUUGCAUAUUACUAGUUACAUUAAUGUAACACGUUACCUUAAAAUAUUACUUUGUGUGGAAAGUAAUGCGAUUACCGGUUAUAUAAACAAAAUCAAGAAAUCUGUCGGCGAGUCACGAGCGCUCAACCAAAGAUGGGCUACCUAGAAGGUUUGCUCUGUAGUUUCUCCUUUCAUCUGUGGUGCUGCUACGUACUGACUCAGGUUUGCUCUGUAGUUUCUCCUUUCAUCUGUGGAGCUGCUACGUACUGACUCAGGUUUGAUCUGUAGUUUCUCCUUUCAUCUGUGGUGCUGCUACGUACUGACUCAGGUUUGAUCUGUAGUUUCUCCUUUCAUCUGUGGUGCUGCUACGUACUGACUCAGGUUUGAUCUGUAGUUUCUCCUUUCAUCUGUGGUGCUGCUACGUACUGACUCAGGUUUGCUCUGUAGUUUCUCCUUUCAUCUGUGGCGCUGCUACGUACUGACUCAGGUUUGAUCUGUAGUUUCUCCUUUCAUCUGUGGUGCUGCUACGUACUGACUCAGGUUUGCUCUGUAGUUUCUCCUUUCAUCUGUGGCGCUGCUACGU